rnacentral:rRNA from 1 species
UACGGAGGGUGCGAGCGUUGUCCGGAAUCACUGGGCGUAAAGGGCGCGUAGGUGGCCUGUCGCGUCGGCUGUGAAAACUCGGGGCUCAACUCCGAGCUUGCAGUCGAUACGGGCAGGCUAGAGUUCGGCAGGGGAGACUGGAAUUCCUGGUGUAGCGGUGAAAUGCGCAGAUAUCAGGAGGAACACCGGUGGCGAAGGCGGGUCUCUGGGCCGAUACUGACACUGAGGAGCGAAAGCGUGGGGAGCGAACAGG